rnacentral:lncRNA from 1 species
GCAAGAGUGGGAGGUGAGGUGGGCAGGCCAGGGAUGGGCACAGGAACCUUUGCAUCUUACCUUGUGUGAAUCUCGAGAGGUAGAGUGGGUGUGCCGGUUGCUCUGCAGCCAGGAGGCACCGAAGGAGGAAGCCCCAAGGCAGAGAGGGCCAAGAUCAACCCUAGUAAAAAGGAGGAGGAUGAAGGCCAUUCAAACUCCUCCCCAUAACACACUGAACCAGCGAGAAGAAUGGAAAAUGUUUAUAGGAGGCCUUAGCUGGGACACCACAAAGGAAGAUCUGAAGGGCUCCUCUUCCAAAUUUGGUGAAGUUGUAGGCUGCACUCUGGAGUUAGAUCCUAUCACAGGGCAAUCAAGGGGUUUUGGCUUUGUGGUGUUUAAAGACUCAGAGAGUGUAGAUAAUGUCUUGGAACAGAAAGAACAUAAAUUGAAUGGGAAAGUCUUA